rnacentral:rRNA from 1 species
UACAGAGGGAGCGAGCGUUAUCCGGAAUGAUUGGGCGUAAAGCGUCUGUAGGUGGUUUAGAAAGUCUACUGUCAAAUACCAAGGCUCAACCUUGGGCAGGCAGUAGAGUACUUUUAGACUAGAGUGUGGUAGAGGUAGAGGGAAUCCCUAGCGUAACAGUUGAAAUGUGUAGAUUUUAGGGAGAACACCAGCGGCGAAGGCGCUCUACUGGGCCAAGACUGACACUGAGAGACGAAAGCUAGGGGGAGCGAAUGGG